UCAAACUACAUGGGUGGAACAAGCCUUUGCGACACGUCAGCUGUUACUUGUGCGGCAACUGCCUGAAUGAUUCACUUGUACCGUUCUUUAAUUAUAUUAAGGUAAAAGAAUGAAGUUUGAUAAUACGGGAUUUCAUAUUUGUGAAUGGAGAAUUAAAGCUGGACCGAGUAUUUUUCCUGGCAACGGGAAUAAUUACAGCUUUCUUUUUCUUUGCGUCAUGGAACAUCUCCCAAUAAGAAAGUCACCAUUCGGUGAAGACGGGAGCCGUAAGAAAGAAAAGAAUUAAAUAAAUUUAUAUAAAUUAUUUAUUUCCAUUAUAUAUUAUUAUUAUCUCAAUUUAUUAUUAUUAUAUCAAUUCAUUUUAGUUUUUUCUGCAUUAGCCUACUGCAUAGUAGGAUGGUAAAUGUAUUACAUGCCUUCAGACUCACUGUAAUUGACUAGGGGUUGGUUGAACCAUUUGUAGAAUAUUUAAGUACUAUAAUGUAGUACGUAUAGUACAUUCUCAUCUUAAGAUGUACAUUACUUGUAGAUUCGAGUGAUUUGUAUAAAUGUUCAACAGAUCCACCAUUCAGUCCAAACCCCAUCUAUCGUCACACAUAAAAAGCACAUGCACUAAAAAGAAUCCGAACAGGACCUACUGUACAUAAAGCUGUUUGGCACAGUUAACAUGCGUACUGUCCAUUUCUGUAAGAUAAAGUUUUCUUGUGCUUAUUUGAUUAAGCACUAAGUCAUGAUGAUAUAUGAUGGAGAGGAGCUAUAGCUUUUCUUGAAUACGGCAUUAGACAGAGGUGAGUGGUCAGCAUCACCACCUGGACACUGAGAAGAAAAUUAAAAUGUUGCCAUGCCAGGAAUCGAACCCAUAUCCAGUACCUCUCUGUAAGUGUUGUUUAUAUUUCUUGUGACUACACUGCUCUUUCUGUGUAUAGAUAUAAAAUCAAAAUAAUAAAUUGCUGUUAUUGAUAA